AGAAAGUUUGUUUCAUUAUAUGCUUUUCAAGAAUCAUCUUUUGACCUUGUUAAUACAUAUUGCAAAUUUGUUUUCUGUUUCAGUGAUAUAUGUGAUUUCUCUGUCUCUUACUGUCUUCAGAUUAUUCUGUUUUUCAGCUAAAUGAGUUUAGUAUAUUCAUCUUUAAUCUUUCUGUUUUUCUAAUAUAAGCAUCUAAGGUUAUACGUUUUCCUGAAAUUACUGCUUUUUCUGCAUCCCACAGGUUUUGAUACACAGUGUUUCUACUCAGUUCUGUUAUUUUUCAGUAUGCAUUAUUAUUUCUUCUUUAAACCAUCAGUUAUUUAAAGACUUUUUAAUUGAAAAUGUGUUUAUGUGUUUUAUGUAUAUAUUUGUUACACUAUGGAUGGAAUCAAGGAACCCUGAGACUUGCUCUGUUAGGUACUCCGUGGUCAGUUUCUAGAAAUAUUCUAAGCCAAAGAAGAGUGCCGAUCUCACCAACAGGCAGACAGGUGCAGUGAUGUAUAUCGAGUAAAUCGAGCUUGGUAGCUCAGGUUUUCUGCAUUUUUACUGACGCUCACGUCCAGACUCACCCUAUCAGUCUGCCUCUCACCCACUGAUGCGCAGUGAAGUAGAUCCGUCACCCAUCAGAUGAUGCGUUUGUCCAUUCCUCCCUCUAGUUCCGGCCGUUUUAGUCUUGUGUAUUCGGGAGCCAUUUUAGUUUAGAAUCAGUAUGUGCAAAGCAAUUUCAGCGUUGCUACGUCUUAGGGUCUUAGAUCUGGAUGCGUUCGCCGGAGUCCAGUCUUGGUCCCUGCCGCGCUCCAUGCCCAGGCAGGAGGAACUCUUCCACGGCACCCGGCCAGUUGACUCCAAAGGACUUUUAGAGGCAGUGAACUCCUUCCCUCACAAGGAAGUCAGAUUCUUUGUUGACGAUCUCUGCUUGAUUAUACUUGCCAUCUGAUUAGACUCUAGAGCCAGCCUUAUGCAAAGCGCUUUACAAACAUUAUCAUGUUUGAUUCUCAGCUGUUUCAUCUCUCAGUUGUGUCUGACUCUCUGUGACCCCGUGGACUACAGCCCACCAGGCUCCUCAGUCCAUGGGAUUCUCCAGGCAAGAACACUGGAGUGGGUUGUCAUGCCCUCCUCCAGGGAAUCUUCCCGACCCAGGAAUCGAACCCGCAUCUCUUGCACUGGCAGGCGUAUUCUUUACCAUCAGCACUGCCUGAUCUUUACGUUGAGUCUAAAACCAUUCCCCUUUCACAUCCAAUCAUGGGACCUGGCUCUAACCAUCAUUGCAAGCAUUCUCAGCACUGUAAUCCCUUGGAAACCUCAGAAAUAUUUGAAGCUAAUAUGUGUUACAUAACCCUGUCCAACUCUCAUUAGUUUCCUCAUAGAAGCUUUGGACCCUUGCCAUGUUCUGUUCUUACCAUGACUUUUGGAAAAGUAGUCAGUCUUUUUGUUUUUCCUUUUCCAAAAACAAGUCAGUCUUUACAUGCUUCAUUCUUAAUGUGCAGCCUGGUGAGUUAAACCAUUUCUGCAUGUGAGUCAGGCAUGGUAGAGAAAGCCCAGUAUUUUAACAUGAAGUUCUUCAUCUCAGGUUUAAAAAGUCAACCUCAGGACCGCUCAGGUCUCACAUGUGACUCUUCCAUAAGAGAGCUCAGAUUCAGAUUUCCUCUCUGGUGUCACCAGAGCACAGUCUAAUCAACCUAAACUGAGACUCCUCUUUCUGAGUCAGCACCAGCAUGGCUCUGGGGCUGUCUUUUAAUUGUGGGGCCGUGGAAAGCCUUACCUGUGGCAGUUACGAGGGAAUCAGAGGGCAUGACGCACGCAGGGCUGCUGCGCAUUAUGCUUUAUGGCAGGGAGGGACAGGAUGACUCGGUUAGACCGGAGUCGCGGAAUGCGCACACCCUGCACAGCCGUGCCCAGCGCUUGUUUGAGAACCGGAAAUGACUCACGACUGUGAGCUGACCCGUAUGGCAUUCUCGUGCACUGUUGAGACACGUACCAGACUAAGAGUGUCUAUCAUCCUCUCCUGCCAAGGAGCUUCAAUCUCACUCCUAUUGUUUGUAGCUCCUCCUCACUCUUUUAAUGCGGGAGGCUUGGAAAACCCGUAGAAUUUACAUCAAGGUGAAGACGGAAGCAUUUGGCAGCCACGGAUAUUUUUCUUUGCUUGUGUCAUCUUGAUGCAUCAGACCACAGCUUGGACUCAGCUACUUUCUGCCUUCAGCGACUGCCCCUGGGAAGUAGCGCGACACAGUUUUCAAGUUCUAAAGAUCGAUUCACUCACACAAGGGAUUUAUGGCGUCUACCCCAUGGCCAGCCUGGGCAUCCAAUGGUGAACGAGGAAGUCGCAGUGUCUGCCUCGCGGUAGACGUGCUGUGAUGGGGGAAGUACAGACUGUCCCAGGAGUGUGUAAGAUGGGCACACACACCCGUCGGGAGAAAGAGAAGGCCUUGCAGAGAAAACGACAUCUAAACUGAGAUCUAAAGGCCAGGAGAAGUUGGGACGAUUCAAACAGGGAAAGGCCCAAAGUCAGAGUAUGGCACGUCCAAGGAGCUGAAAGAAGUUAGGUGUCGUCUACUUAGGCCAAGUUCUGCCGCAGUAACAAGCGACCCCAAGUCUCCACGGCACCGGACAGUGAUAGAGCAGUGGUUUGUUUCCCACUCCCACUGUGAUGUGGAGAGAAGACUGGGAGGGAUGAGACUGCGGGAGGAAGCGAGGCCGCAGUUCAGACUGGAGAAGACGGAGGCCUGGGCUCAGGCAGUGGCCACGGGGGCCACAGAACAGUGGAUGGGGUCACGGUGCCUAGAGGGGCUGCCCUGGUGGCCCAGCGGUCAAGACUCCGCGCUCCCGACACAGGGGCCGGUUCCUGGGUUCCAUUCCUGGCUGGGGAGCUAAGACUGCAUGCUGCAGGGCACGGCCAAAAAAAUACAAAUACAUGGAAAGUAGAGUUGCAGAGUUGCUAGCUCUUUCUGGUUGACGAGACUUGGAGGGUGGAAGAAAGGAGCCGUGAUCGACACCCAAGUUGCUUUAUUCCAACCACGGAAAAGGGCAGAAAGAUGAAAACCUCUAUAGAGAUGAAUUUAAUAUGCACAACAGCAUGAUAAAUAUUUUAUUGUUAGUAAUUUUAGAACCAUUUUCCUACCAAUCUUGAACACAUCAUGGAGUUGAUGGUCCCAUUGAUCUAUAUUAUUUCUUCUGCCCAAACUCCUGGCACAAGUAUAGUCACAGAACUACAUAAUUCUUGACAGUGAAGUUUCUGGGACACCAAAUGAGGAGGUAUCUACCUAAAACUAGGUCUGUAUUACAAAUCUAAAAUUUCAUCCUAAAACUUGAACUUACGAAGAUGCCACUAGAUGGUUAGGAAAAUCAGACUGGGGCUGAGCUGUUGUCGAGGAUGAAGAAAGUUUCUCUGCCCUUCCAAGUCUUCUGGGUGGUCUGAGAGUUAAAUUGACACGAUCCUGAGGCCUGUGGCUGAAACUCCUCACUCCCAAUGCAGGGAUCACAGGUUCGAUCCCUGGUGGAGGAACUAAGAUCCCACAUGCCACACAGUGCGGCCGAAAGUGUAUUUAAAAAAUAAUAACAAGUGUUCUUGUGGCUCGGCUGGUAAAGAAUCUGGUUGCGAUGCGGCAGGGCUGUGUUCGAUCCCUGGGUUGGGAAGAUCCCCUGGAGAAGGGAAAGGCUACCCACUCCAGUAUUUAUUGGGCUUCCCUGGUGGCUCAGACGGUAAAGCGUCUGCCUGCAAUGCGGGAGACCCGGGUUCGAUCCUUGGGUCAGGAAGAUCCCCUGGAGAAGGAAAUGGCAACCCACUCCAGUACUCUAGCCUGGAAAAUCGCAUGGGUGGAGAAGCCUGGUAGGCUACAGUCCACAGGGUCGCAAAGAGUCGGACACGACUGAGCGACCUCACUUUCACUUUCACUAUGGAGAAGCUGGAACCUUCCCGGAUUGCCAACGGGAAUGUAAAGUGGUGCACGCCAUUCUGGAAAAUAAUCUGGCAGUUCCUCAAAAUGUUAAGCACAGAGUCACCGCGUAACCCAGAAACCCCACUCGGAUGCCAAGAGACUCCACAACAGGUGUUCAAACAAAAACUUGCACAGAAAUAUUCAGAGGAGCAGUAUUUCCAACAGAACACAGAGACCAGUGUCCAUUAUAAAUGGGUAAAUAAAACGUGGCCUGUCGUUACAGUGAUAUUAUUCAGCGAUAAAAAAACUGAGUACUGACACGUGCUGCAAUUUGGAAGAGCCUGGGAAACACUGAGCUAAUGAAAGACAUCCAUCCGAGAAGGCCCCACGAGAUGACUCCACUUACCUGAGAGGUCUGGACUAAGCAGAUGAGCAGAGACGGGAAGCAGGCCAGUGGCUGCCCAGGACCGAGGGGCGGGGCCUGCGUGGUGGGAAGAAAUGGGAAGUGACUGCCAGUGGUUUCUUUCUGGGGUAAUGGAAGGUUCUAACAUUGGAUUGUGGCGAUGGUGAUGUACAGCCCAGGACAUAUAUCUUAAAAUACUUAAUUAUACACUUAAAAUGGGUGCAUCGUGUGGUAUGUGAAUCUCCAGAAGGCUUUUUAAAGUGAACGUAGCAGCUCUCCCUAGAUGCUGAGCUUUUUUGCUUUUUAUCUUUUUGCUCGUCUGUGUCUUCUACAGUGAGCAAGUGUUUCUAGUUGUCAGGAAAAGGGAAGUCAUUAGUUUAAAUGGCUUGUCACGGCAAGGUAACUUCUUAGAAUUAAGGAGAGAAGCUCAUGGGUUUAAGACCAGUAACUGCAGAGGAAACUGCUCCUUUCUCCCAGACCAUUUCCCACAUCUCAUUGUCCUCCACUGGGGAGGAUGGUUUUUCUCCUUUUUUUCCAUCAGAUAAUGAGAUCUGGUGGGUGUUCUUACUUUUUUCACGUUGUGUGGUGAUUCAUUCCGGCUGAGCGCCUUUACAUUUUUGGCUUUUCACUGUUCGCUGCAGCCCGAGAGCCUCUGUGCUUUGAGAUCUUAGUUUGGAUGGUACUGCAUUCAGUGGGGUUUCACAAAUUGGGUUUAAGACUUUAAUCCACUUCAGCACAUCCUUCCCUGACUCCAUGGCCAGUUAGCAUUUGGGGUAAUCCCUCCACAGUGAUAAAUACAAGCAACAGUGAAUGUGUUUUGCCAAAAAAAAAAAAAAAUCUUAAAUUUCAAUCUGACAGUAUAAUAAUAUACUGUGGGAAUUAAAAUGACUGUUAAAAUAGAUUAUAAAUAGUCUGAAAGAAUAUAUAAAAGUAUUUUGAAGAAUUGGAGAUUUUCUCUUUAUUGUAGCAUAAGUUAAUAUGUUGAUUAAUUCUUUUUGGCAGGUGGGUGAAUCAGUCAGUAUCAGAUGAUAACUGGGCUUAAGGAAAAUAACUAUGGAGUCACACUUGCUUAAAAGAGACAUACUUGGUCGAAAGGUUACAUGGCUUAAACAGAAAAAUCCAUGAAGAAGUAAUAAUAUCAGAUUUUCUUCUUAGCAACCAUGAAGUUAGAAAUGACUACAUUAAUACUGGCGGGGGGCACACGUCAGAAAAUCUGAUACAGUUCAUUGAAAGGCAAUUCCAAAAGCUGAAAGCAUUAUAAAAUACAAUUACUAAAAGCAUUAUAAAAGUGUUAUUAUGUGAAGCACAAAGAUAUAUUUGCAUGAAAUUUUGCAAAAAACUUCAAGUCUAAGGUUUCUGCCCAUGUUUGAAUUUGUAUCCUUGAAGUCAACAUUGUGAAAAACAGCAGGAGUUCUGCAGAGGCUCCUGGAAAUGGGGAAUGUGGGUGGCAGCCUUCAGUUUUCUACCAAGGGGAGAUUUCAUCUCAGUACUGGCUCAGGAGUUUAUAGAAAAGUGGGAAAAACGCUUAGAAGCCAGUGCUGGGUUUCAGUGGCCACUUAUGGGAAUGUCUGCAUCUUUGCAGUAUUAAUUGGUCAGUGGCGACCCCCCCUGAAUUCUGAGGUGGAAAAGGGAAGGCCCUUAUAUGGUGAAGAAAAUGACAACCCACUCCAGUCCUCUUGCCUGGAGAAUCCCAUGGACGGAGGAGCCUGGUAGGCUACAGUUCAUGGGGGUCGCAAAGAGUCGGACACGACUGAGCGACUUCACUUUCACUUCACUUUAUAUGGCAAUGCAGGCAGACCACGGCUGGGCUCGAACCCAGGGUCAAAAGUGUUUGCGACAGGACAGCCCAGACACGUGUGAAGAGCCCAGACUGUAGCCGUGUGGGGGCCCUGGAGACUUGACUUAAGCCAGGACCAGAGGACGGAGCAUGGGGGACAUGCCAGCAGAGUCAACACGCGUUGCACGUGUCCACUCAGGACUGCUAGGUGAUAGUUAUUUUGGAGGAAACAAUGACGCAGGCUUUAUCAGAGCCCUUUGCUAAGAUUGCCCGCCUGUGUCCCAUCUGCCUCACCUGCUCUGCUCAGAUUCCUUGAGGCAAAGACCCUGGAGUUUCCCCUUGGUGUCACCAGCACCUUUGCAGACCAAAACCAUUUGAAUGAUUUGCAAGGAUUUAACCGUCUACCAGGGUACUGCCUAAAGGAUAGGAAUCUGCUUUCCAGUCGCAAGUAGUCAGCAGAGAGAGCUGCUCACAGGAGCCGACUGCAGAUCCUCUCGGGAAGAAAACCACUGAGGGGGCUCCUGGCCCCUAAUGCUCUCUGCCUUCAUGCUCUUGUUGCUGCUGAGAGUUGCUGCUGUUCAGUCCCUCAGUCGUGUCCGACUCUGCGACCCUGUGGCCUGAAGCCCGCCAGCAUCCUCUGUCCGUGGAACUUUCCAGAUUCAUCUGUUGAGGUGGACAGAUGACGACAUGCCAGUCCCCCAGCAGAUGCCCAACAUGACAAUACUAGGCGAGACGGCCCAGCUGAGAGUGAAGGGGCCCUGCAGACCCAGAGCAUCUCAGGGCUGCAGCCUCCAGUGAAAUCGCGGGUGUGAGCGAAGAUCGCCAACUGCUGCAAAAGGAAUGAACAGGAAUUCAAAAGACCAAACAUUUCAAACUAAACAGCAAAGCCAUUUGAAGGCAGCCUCCUGGUGGCCAGCGCCUUGUGCCCUGGGGUCACUUCUUAAAUUAAGGUGAAAGUUGAAGUCUAAGUGGAGAGGGAAGGAAGGAGAAAGGCCCUU
ensembl:lncRNA